UACAGGGGGUGCAAACGUUGCUCGGAAUCAUUGGGCGUAAAGCGCACGUAGGCGGUUCGUUAUGUCGGAUGUGAAAGCCCUUGGCUUAACCAAGGAAGUGCAUCCGAAACUGGCGAGCUAGAGUACUAAAGAGGAUCGCGGAAUUCCCGGUGUAGAGGUGAAAUUCGUAGAUAUCGGGAGGAACACCGGUGGCGAAGGCGGCGAUCUGGGUAGAUACUGACGCUGAGGUGCGAAAGCGUGGGGAGCAAACAGG
rnacentral:rRNA from 1 species